rnacentral:rRNA from 1 species
AUUGAACGCUGGCGGCAGGCCUAACACAUGCAAGUCGAACGAGUGGCGGACGGGUGAGUAAUGUCUGGGAAACUGCCCGCUGGAGGGGGAUAACUACUGGAAACGGUAGCUUAUAUCGCAUACCAUCGGAUUUGCCCAGAUGGGAUUAGCUAGGAGGUGGGGUAACGGCUCACCUAGGCGACGAUCCCUAGCUGGUCUGAGAGGAUGACCGGCCACACUGGAACUGUGAAACGGUCCAGAGUCCAACGGGAGGCAGAAGUGGGGAAUAUUGCACAAUGGGCGCAAGCCUGAAGCAGCCAUGCCGCGUGGAUGAAGAAGGCAUUCGGGUUGUAAAGUACUUUCAGCGAGGAGGCGUUACUCGCAGAAGAAGCACCGGCUAACUCCGUGCCAGCAGCCGCGGGAAGAC